ensembl:lncRNA
GUUGAAAUACACGAGUGAAGGUAAGAAAAACAUGGGAGCAACAUGUACUGAUUGCUGCAGAGCACUCUGUUUCCUACAAGUGACAGAAAGAAGAACAAUCUGAAACUCUAGAGGUAAGAUAACAAGAUAAGGAGCUGGAGCUAUGAAACAUUCAGAUAAGGACAAGUAGACCCAAGAAUUUGAGGGGUAGGGCAAGACGGUGAAGCACCACAGCCCACUAUCCACUGUGAAAGUCUGUAAAAGAGACCUCAAGAAAUCAAUUGGGAGUUCCCAAUCAGGAGCAGCCCAGGAGAUGCAGUGAGGAUGUAAUGGUGCUGUCCUGUGUGCUUCUUGCAGCACUCAGGUGGUCCUGGCCAGACCACUUCUAAGAGAUGCUUUGGUUGCUUUCAGGAAGCCGUAGCCAAUCAGAGGCUGCAACUCAGAGAAAGCAUUCCCAACCACCGUGAUUUCUGAAAAUAAUGCCCCGGUGCUGAUCUGCUGGAAGUGCUGUAAGGGCUCUGUAGGUUGGCUCAAGCAGAGGAGACCUCAGUGCCCGCGGUGGCUGAACUACAGCGGUAAGGCGCUGCCAAAGCACUGCGCUGAGCGGAUCGUCGAUAAAAUGGACUCCAUGCCCAAGCUGAAGAUCUUUGUGAUGUUGCUGUCUCUGGUUACUUUCACAGCCAUGGUGAUACUGAAUGCUGGGAAUGCCACUGGGCUUUUCAAAGGUCUGUUCCGGACAACCCCUGGCAACAUCUCAGAGAAGUACAGCACUGACUUCACACCGGCCGGCUGGACUUUCCUCAUCUGGAAUGUCAUCUAUGCCUGGCAGCUGGCGUGGCUCCUGUAUGCUCUGUCAGGGAUCUGCCGGAGAAAUGAACUUGGAUACGUCUUCAUGAAGCCGGACUUGCUGCCAAUACCUUUUUAUGUGGCAUGGAUUCUGAAUAAUGGCCUCAAUGUUGGAUGGCUGUUUCUAUGGGACAGAGAAUACCUCCUCCCAGCCCUGCUGUUGCUGGCAGCCCUCACCUUUACCACAGGUGCUGCUCUCUUCAUCUCGCACAGAGCCUUGAGUAUCCAUUCCACGUGGUUCAUGAAGGGUCACCAAGCUGAUCUCUGGCUCAUCCGGAUCCUAGUGCAGAAUGGGCUGGCACUGUAUGCCACAUGGACCACCAUCGCCACUCUGCUGAACUUUGCUGUUGUGUUGAUCUACAAGUGGGACGUGUCCAAUGAGACAGCAACGACUGCCUGUCUGAGCAUCCUUACUCUCAUGCUUGUCAUGUGGUUUUGCCAGGAGAACUUCUUUCUCGAUAAGUACGUCCGUUAUAACCUCACCAUCUACCCAGUGGUCAUAAUAGCUCUGACUGGCAGCAUGUGCAAGGACUUCUCGGUAUCCUCCCCAACCACCAACGGCGUUUUUAUAGUUGUACUGCUGGCACUGACUUGUUUCAUCUUUGCUGUUCGGCUGGCAUUAGUCAUAUGGAAGCACAGCAAUGAACCAGUGGAAGCACCAGCACCACCACCACAGCCAUCAAGCACAGCAGCCUGAGACCUCUGGCAUGGUGAUGCUAUGUCAGAUGCUUUAGAGGGAGAAGUAAGAGCUGAGCAUCCUGCUUCCACUGGUCCUUUCUUCCAGUAGCAAUUACCCUAUUUUUUUAGCUAUUUUUCUGUUUUCUUUUUUUUUUUUUUAAUAUGCUGGAUUAGUAAGGCUUGUGCCUGCAAACCCAUCCUCCUCCCCUGUUCUCUGAGCUCAGCUAUUUGCAGCCCCACCUCAAACAUGCACCUUCCUCUGUUUCAUUUUUGGUCAGUGGAGGAAGAGGCCCUUUGGAUGAGUAGCUCUGUAUACAUUUGUGAUGACAGAGCUGCUCCUUCCAGUGUGAGGGGGGCUGUCAGCAGAUGCUUGGCACGGAGAGUUGCCCUCACCCUUUCCUGGGAGCUAUGGUGGGCAUGGGAGGAGGGAUGGCUGAAUACUUCUGACACAGCUGCAAGUCUUCGGCCUAUUUCAGGUUGCUCUAACUCUAGGAACUGACAACCUGUUCAUUUCUCGGCACACAGUAUUAUCUCUGUGACUUUCUUACUGAAGCUUGUCACUGUGUCGGUGCCUCCAUCCAUGGCCCCAAAGUAACAGCAGAUCUGUGUCCCCUACCCCACUCCUCCUUUCAGACAGGGGAGAUCCAGGUGAUAUGGGAGCAGUGGGCUACUUGUCCUGAGCUGUGCCCAGUUGGUCACUGCCUCCUUGCAGCCCUUCUGCUGGGAGAUCAGCCAUUCAGACACCACCAUACCUGAUGGAGGGUGGAGCCUGCUGCUUCAUGGAACGCUUCUUGCAUUCUGAGCUGGGGUAGAGUGAAUUCUUCCUGGAUCAGUGCUUUAUAAUGUGGCUUCACCACUGUGGGCUUACUUUGGGAAGCCUGAAUGAGUACUGACUGGAUUGUCAGACCUCCACCUCUAUUUGCUGUGCCUACUAGAUUUGAUGGUGCCUUGUUGGUGUCUGGAAAGUCUUCCUCGAUGACUGGUGCUUGGAAAUGCUGAAUAUCUUGCAGUACUAUUACGAAGGUGAAUUCUACUAAAACAACAUGUUAUUGUCUACAUUUAAUGAAGAGCAAAGUCUGUAUUAUGCUGUUCUUGUCAUUCCAUCACAUUUUUAAAUAAAGCGGCAACUGCCAACACUUUUCAUGCAACCACAGAAACAUUAAGGCUGGAAAAGACCUCUAGGAUCAUCUAGUCCAACCACCAACCGUUCCCACCAUGCCCAUUGCCACAUCUAGCCCUUCUACUAACUCUGCAUGAAGCUCUAAGUAAAUGACUUUUGGAAAUCAUGCUUAUAACAGGGGACCUGACUUCUACUUUUCCUGCAUCUGCUUUGCUAUCUGUGGUGCAGGGUUAGGACCUCUUGGCUUUAAACGAGCUGAAAGGAGCUCCUCACUCCUCAUUAUAAGUGCUGUAGCACCACGUUCAUCUUGUGCAGACCUCCCAGCAAGGAAUCCCCUGAUGACUGUCAUGAAAUGCUGGUGCUGAGUGAGCCCCUGGGAUGGCCCCUCACAAACAAGCUGCUGGCUCCAAGCUGCCUUCCACCACCAUUCCCUGGAGCUGGGGCAGGCAGACAUUCCCACAGCACAGUGCUCCCUGCCAGCAUUGGGAAAAGCAGCUUUCCUUGCAUCCAUGGCAGGAACAGGAGCCUAAAAAUAUCAUCACCCUGCCUGCCCCUUUCCU